AACGAACGCUGGCGGCGUGCCUAACACAUGCAAGUCGCGCGCGAAAGUCUUCGAUGAGUAGAGCGGCGCACGGGUGAGUAACACGUGGGUAAUCUGCCCUUGGGUCUGGAAUAACUCGGCGAAAGCCGAGCUAAUACCGGAUAAAACUAGCUUACGAAAGUGAGUUAGGAAAAGCGGAGGACUUCUUCGGAAGCUUCGUGCCAGAGGAUGACGCCCGCGGCCCAUCAGCUAGNGGCGGGGUAAUGGCCCACCAAGGCUAAGACGGGUAGCUGGUCUGAGAGGAUGAUCAGCCACACUGGAACUGAGACACGGUCCAGACUCCUACGGGAGGCAGCAGUGGGAAUCUUGCGCAAUGGGCGAAAGCCUGACGCAGCAACGCCGCGUGUGUGAUGAAGGUCUU
rnacentral:rRNA from 1 species